rnacentral:tRNA from 1 species
GUGGGUAUAGCUCAGUUGGUAGAGCCCCGGAUUGUGGAUCCGGUCGUCGUGGGUUCGAGUCCCAUUACCCACCCCA